rnacentral:lncRNA from 1 species
UUUUAUUUUUUUUACUUUUUUUAUUUAUUUAUUUUUUUUUUUUAAGUAAUAUGGAUAAAAAUGCAAAUGAUAACAUGGCAACUACAAUGGAUAGUGUAGGAGAGAAUAACGCAAGUUUUUUAAAUGAAAAAACUGAUUUAGACAAUAAAAACAAAUUAAAAGAUGAUAAGUCCAAUGAAAAUGUAACUAACAUUAAAGCAAAUAAUUCAAGCGUAGAAACAAAUAACAAUGAAAAAAAAAUUUUAAAUAAUAAUAUUGAUAGCAAUAAAGAUCAAACAGGUAAAAAAAAUGAUAUGUUGGUUAAUGAAGAAAAAGAAAACACAGAAUAUUCAACAAAAGAAAAUUUAACUGAAUCGAGUUUGGAAGUUCCUAACAAGGAAAAAGCAGAAACACAGAAUGAGAACUUUAAAAAAGACAUGAGUGAAACUGUAAAAAUAGAAAAAGAUAAAGAUAAUAUAGAAAGUUUGACUAUAGAAAAUGAAGAUAAGGCAGAAGAGGAACCUAUGCAAAAAUAUGAAAGUAAACUAAAUCCAUUUUCACCAGAAUUCAGGCCACAAAAUUCAUUAUAUAUGUAUCAGAAGAUUCGGCAACAUACACUAAAAAAUAUAAUAUUACUAAUAAAGUCAUUUGGAUAUACAGGAAUAAAAUUAGAAAAGAUAUCAGGAGAGUAUUGCAAGAAAUAUAAUGCAUUGUUAAAUUUGAGUCAUGCUGGAUUUACUAAUAUUUACGAUUUGUUGAAGAGUCUAGACCACUGUCUGAUAUACGAAGAACUAGAGGACGACCACAAAGAGACUGAUAAGAUAAAGGAAAAACAGGAGAACGAAAGUGUAAACGAUAAACAGGAGAAUGAAAUUGCAAACGAUAAAAAAGAGAAUGAAAAUGAAAAAGAUAAACAGGAGAAUGUAAAUGAAAAAGAUAAAUUAGAGAAUGUAAAUGAAAAAAAUAAAUUAGAGAAUGAAAAUGAAAAAGAUAAACAAGAGAAUGAAAAUGAAAAAGAUAAACAAGAGAAUGUAAAUGAAAAAGAUAAAUUAAAGAAUGAAAAUGAAAAAGAUAAACAGGAAAACGAAAGUGCAAUGGUUAAACAGGAGAACGACGAUGCAAAAAAUGAACAAAAAAACGAAACGAAUGACAACCCCACUGUAAACAACAACAUACAACUUGAAAUGACUAUAACUGUACAAGACCUAGAUAACAAACUUUCGAUUACCGAUUUUACAAAUUUAAACCAAGACGUAAAAAAAGAAAAAAAUUUAUUAAUA